rnacentral:lncRNA from 1 species
AUGCGCCAAGUUCUGUUACGGUAUGACCGUAACACUCAACGCUUACAACGUUGUAGCUGCUCGUUGCGCUGCUGAGUAUCUCGAGAUGUACGAAUCUAUCGAGAGCGGCAACCUUGUUUACAAGAUCGAGUUUUUCUUGAACUCGAGUGUUUUCAGAAGCUGGAAAGACUCCAUCAUCGUUCUCCAGACGACAAGAACGUUACGUCCCUGGUCCGAAGAUGUGAAGAAGAUCGAUGUGAGAUGUUUGGAAUCAAUCGCUUCGAAAGCUGCAGUGGAGCCAGCGAGAGUAGAUUGGUCUUAUACGUAUAACAGAAGGAAGGUUAGCAACGACAACGGUGUGGCUAGAGAUUGGUGGGUCGAGGAUCUCGCCGAGCUAAGCAUUGAUUUAUACAAAAGAGUUGUUUCUACGAUCAGAAGAAAAGGCGGUGUUUCGCCUGAGGUUAUAGGAGAAGCUCUUGAGGUAUAUGCUGCCAAGAGACUCCAAAUAGAUGAUGAUGAUGACGUGGACGAACAGAGGUGUUUGUUGGAGACACUGGUCUCGUUGUUGCCUUGUGAGAAACAGAGUGUUUCUUGUGGGUUCUUGGUUAAGCUGUUGAAAUCAUCGGUUUCUCUAGAAGACGUGAGGAGAAAGUUAAGUAGGAGAAUAGGAGAGAAGCUAGAGGAAGCAAGUGUGGAUGAUCUCUUGAUCAGAGCUUCUUCAGAAGGAUGUGAAACCGUCUAUGACAUUGACAUUGUUGAGACUUUAAUCGAUGAGUUUAUUACACAAACAAAGAAAAGAGAUGAGCUUGUUUGUUCAGACAUGUCUGUUUCAGACAGCUCGAAAUCAAUUGUCGCCAAGCUAAUGGAUGGAUACUUAGCUGAGAUCUCGAGAAUCGAACCAAAUUUCUCUACUUCAAAGUUCAUUGCAAUAGCAGAGAAGGUUUCUUGUUUCCCAAGAUCAUCACACGAUGGAGUUUAUCGUGCCAUUGACAUGUUCUUGAAGGUAACUUCGGAUCUUCCUAAAUGUUCAUUUCUAUAUUUUCUAUAAAAUAAACUUUAUUAUAUACCUCAAUUUUGUUCUAAUACUAUAUGCCUCUAUAAUAUAUCUUUUUCUAUUUUUAGGGAAUUAAAAAAUGUUAUUUCCAUCUCUAGAUAUAGAGUUACAAAUAGAAAUUUUUAUAUUUUUCCAUAAAAUAUAGAAACUCUAUUAUAAAAACAUACGUAAUGGCAAAUCACUUCCAUAAUAGAAUUUUUAAAUUUAGAGAAUAAUAUAGAAAUAUACAUUGUAAUGGUCUAAUCAAGUAUUUUCCUAAGUAUUAUGAAAGGGAAUUUAAUGAAAUAAACCCUCAACUAUAAAGCCAUCAAUAUUAAAACCCUCAAGUAUUUUAAAACUGAAUUAAAUCCUUAACUUGAAUAUGUUAGGAAACAUAACCCUCCGUCUAAAAAGACGUUUAAACUCAAACAAUUUUUUGUCCAUAUGCCAUUUGAAUAGAAAAAACAACGAGCCAUCUAUAUUAGCAUAAAAAGAACAAGUUUUUUUAAAAAAAAAAUUUAAAGCACAUGUAGUUUGGUUGCAUGCAAUAUAUAUCCAGAUAACAUGAAUUUACCACAAACAAAGCACUGUAUUUCACCAAAAAAAAAUAGAGUAUGCCCAACAAAGAGAGCAUAUUGUAGUGUAACUUGGUUUUACCAAAGCAAAUGAACAUCACAAUAUCCACUCACAUAUAGUCUAAAGACACUUGUCCUGCAUCAACACAAAUAAAUUAUGUAUAAGUCAAUGUUCUUGACAAAUGUGUUAUACUCAGGUUAACAAUCUCUGUCUCUAUCGUCUACUUCCCGUUCAACUUUUUAUGAUUCUAGGGUGUAUUGUUGUGCGUUGAUGACCUCCAAACUUUGUGUAGUUUUUGAUAAAAAAAAUUGCUGUUUCUAUUAUUUAAUAGAUGUGGUGUAUUUUAUUUUAUUUUCAGUUAAAUGGUUUAAAGAAGAAAAGUAAACGUUUGACAAAUGGAAGGUUAAGUUUUCUAACAGAUUCAAGUUAAGGAUUUAUUUUAGCUUUAAAAGACUUGAGGGUUUUAAUAUGGAUGGCAUUAUAGUUGAGGGUUUGUUUCAUUAAAUUCCCAAUGAGAGACAUGUGUCUCUAGGAGACGUCUGUUUUUGUCCUUAACUAAGAAACGUUUUUUCUAAUAACAUCUAUUUUUGAUUUAUUUUUAAUCCUAAUUACAUUAAGAACCCUAGCUAAGGACAGCGAUAAUCAUGCUCUAAGGCCCUAACCGACCAAACUCUUAACGAUGCCUUAUCUUUCUCCACGAUCAUGUGACCCUCAUUUUCAUGUGCUCUCUGUUUUAAUUUUGGUAAAUAAUGUACUCUCCUUUUAUUUGAGUGUAAUACUAUGCCUUUCGAAAAGAAACUAAGUUCUACGUUUUUUACAUCCAAACACAUCUAUGAGAUUGAGAGCUAGCCGAUAAUGUAAAAAAUGAUGCAUAACAACACAAAUCAUAAGCAAACAAGUAUACUUCUGCUUAAAACAAAAGGUAUACUUCUCAUUUUUCUUUAAUCACAUUAUAAAAACACAUCCAAUGAUAGUUAUUUACCAUGAAAUUCUUAAGUUACAAAUUUGUGUAUGUAUAUAUAAUAAUUACUCUCUCCGUUCUACAAAAAUAGAUUUUUUAGUAUUUUCACACAUAUUAAGAAAAUACAUUAAACAACCAAAAUAAAUGUAUCGUUUUCUGUAAUUUUUAAUUUUUAAUUUUCAAUAACUUUUAACUAAUAUUAAUUCAAUUAAGUCAAUUAAUAUUCUUGAAGUUUACAAUUUUUUCAUAAAAAACACAAAAAAUACAUUUUUUGAUACAAAUUUUUUUCUAAAAAAUCUGUCAUUAAAGAACGGAGGGAGUACUAUUUAAUUAAGAGUAUACUAACAUUCUUUGAAAUGCAACCAAUAAUAUGUUAAAUGAGAUAUUAUUGGUUGAGUUUCCAAAAAUUUUAGUACACUAUUAUAUAUACACAUUAAUAUAUAACUUUAGAAUUCUAUGGUAAAAAACUAUCACUGAGGUUGCUCUGAACAUCUACCUACAUUCACAAGGUGCCUGAGGGUGACGUGGUACAAAGCUCAUAUUAAAUACUCCAUCUGUUUCAAAAUACAUAAAGUUUUAAGGUUGUGCACAACUAUUAAAAAACUUAUUUUUUAUUUUAAAAAUAUUAUUAAAAUAUAAUAUAAAAGUUAUUCAACCAAUCACAAAACAGACUAUAAAAUAUUAUUGGUUACACAGUUUUUGAUAAAGCUAAAAAGUACAUUGGUAUAUGAAAAUAUUAUCUAUUUUGAAACAUUAGAAACUUUCUAAAACAUCAUCUAUUUAGAAACAGAGUGAGUAUUAUAUAGUAUAAUAAUGUUUUGGCUAAAAACAUACUCUUACUAUAUUUUCAAUCGACAUUGGAUCCUUUUGGAUUUCAGUGUUGGGGUCUGUUGAAAGAAUUAAAAGGCAGAGGAAAGAUAAAGAGACACCGUUUUGAUAUAUAAAUAGUUUUUACGUUGUAAGUGCGUUGUUAUAACAUUUAGAUAUAACAUUUUUUUGUUAAAUAAGUCGUAUACACCAAAAACAAAACAUUUUUUGUUAAAUAAAAUAUUGGAACAUAUAUUAUCAUUACAAUAAAAAAGAAUGUUACGUGCAGUCCCCUUUCGUCCACUAGGGCAAAAGACGGGUUCACUUGUUUUUUCUCGAUCUAUCAUUUUCUUAAAAAAAAGUCGUAUACUUUAUAGUCUUUUUUCUUUCUUUCGUUCUUCUAAGUUCUAAAGCUAGUAGAAUAGUCUGUUAUUCUGUUUCUACAUGUCAAAAAAUAAAACGAAAAAUAAACUGUUACACAUUUCAUAAGACUGAAUCUUGACUCGCAAAUUGCAUAGAAAAUAUUUAAGAAAUAUAUUCGGUUGAAACAUUAUUGUAUCAGUUCAGAAAAAAAAUAUUAUUUGUGAGUCAGAAAUCGGAUAUUGAUAAAAGGAAGCAGAGCACAGUUUUUAAAAUCGUAGCUACUUCCUACUACUAAACGAUUUUAAAGUUAAACCACUGAUUCGAGUUUUUAUCCACUAGAGAUAAAGAAGAAGGUAACAACACAUCACUGAGUUCGAUUGAAAACAGUGAGACAAAUCCUGGGUAAACUAUAAACAAAAACCUUUCUUUUUAAAAAAUUAUUAAAUUUAAAUUUUUUUUUUUUUUGUAACAUAUAUUUUUUCUUUUAAAGGCUGAGUAGUGGAGACGGUGGCAGUGCUGAUUCAGAGAGUGGGACAUUGAGGACAGGACAUUCUGAGGGUUUCAGAUUUGCACUAAGUAAGAAGAAAUAAGAAAACAGCUCAUUUUCUUUUGAUUCUCUCUGUUUUUUUUUUUUACUUCUUUUGUUGGAUUGUUGUUUUGUGUUUUGUCUGAUUUUCUCUGUGAACUAGAGUUCUCUGUCUAUAAACAAGCAGCAAUUUAGCAUUCGACCAAAAAAAAAAACAAGCAGCAAUUUAGCUUACACUUGUUUUCCACUGUCUUUUUUUUCUCUCCAAUAAUUACAUCGAAUUGAUCCUAAAGAAGGUUUCUAUCUCCCCCAAAGGUAUGAGUUUUCGUUUAUUGCUAUUCAUUUAUUUAAAAUUUUUGUUCCUAAAUAGAAAUAAAAACCUCGAAAUCUAGGGCUUUUUUUUUUGUAGAUUUGAAAUUUGAACCAUAUGUUUUAGUAUCUGAAUUUCGUUUAUGUUCUAUUAUUGGGUCCAUCUGAUUUUUCUAAUCAGAUAAAUCAUAGGUUUUGCAUAACUGGUUUUUAUGAACUCACCACCAUAACAUAAUCUUUCUUUUAUUUUAGCAAAAAAAGGAAAAACAUAAUCUUUGCUUUUUUUACUUCUGCAACUCUCCAUGCAUCGAUCUCCAUAGUUUUUUUUUUUAAAUCUAUUUAAUGCUUUUGUUCCUCGACACAAACCAAGAACACUGCGUUAUUCUUUUUUUUUUUGUAAAAAAAAACACUGCGUUAUUCUUAGUCUGAUUAUUCGCACUUUUACCCAGGGUUUUGUUUCUUCUUCCUAUGAUGCUUUCUGAACCUGAUAAAAGAUUCGGUAGGAAAACAGAAGAGAGACUUUGAUAAUAAAGAAAAAUGCAACGUGUCAGAUUUAUAAGCAAGUGGAGCCUCAUCUCUCCUUUUAUUUUAUUUUUUUGGUGGCUGUUUUGCUCUUUCAUGUUUCCCUUUAAUCACUUGAAAGUUACCAACUUAAGAAGCAAACUAGGUAUCUUCUCAUUCAGUGCAUGUCUUAAGGCUCUGUUUUAUACAGUUUCACAGCUUAUGCUUCAACAACACUCUGCUUGUUUAUACUUUUUGCAUCCAAUAAGGAUCUAAGACUACUUUUUUUUUGAAGUCUUUAAUGCCCUUGUGGUGACUACAGUCAGAUUUGAUUUGCGAGAAGAAGAGAGCAGACCAAUCUUCAGAAACCUCUUGUGUUUCUAAAAAGGAGAAAUGAAGUUUAUGAAACUUGGAACCAAACCGGAUUCAUUUCAGUCUGAUGAAGAUUGCAUAAGGUAUUCAAAAAUCUCUAUUUUUCAUUGCUUAUUGAAUCUUAAACUUUUUCUAGCUGCUUAACAGGUAUGUAGCAUCUGAUUUAGCAACCGAUGUAGUUGUCAACGUUGAAGAUGUGAAAUUCUAUCUGCACAAGGUACAAUUCAAGAAACCAAACCAAACCACUGUUGUGUCUUUUUAGCUGCUGUUACUACUAUUCUAUAAUGAAAACAUUUUUGGUUUGUUUUAUCUUUCUUUUUUUUUAAACAGUUUCCUCUGCUCUCAAAAAGUGCUCGUCUUCAGAAACUGAUAGCUGCAACGGUCGACGAACAAUCAGACGCUGCUGAGAUAAACAUACCCGAUAUUCCAGGAGGCCCUCCAGCGUUCGAGAUAUGCGCCAAGUUCUGUUACGGUAUGACCGUAACACUCAACGCUUACAACGUUGUAGCUGCUCGUUGCGCUGCUGAGUAUCUCGAGAUGUACGAAUCUAUCGAGAGCGGCAACCUUGUUUACAAGAUCGAGUUUUUCUUGAACUCGAGUGUUUUCAGAAGCUGGAAAGACUCCAUCAUCGUUCUCCAGACGACAAGAACGUUACGUCCCUGGUCCGAAGAUGUGAAGAAGAU